rfam:Otolemur garnettii contig130598, whole genome shotgun sequence.
GCUGGACUUGGUGGUGGCUCACCUGUCAUCCCAGCUACUUGGGAGGCUAAGGCAGGAGGAUCGCUUGAGUCUGGUUUGGGGCUAUAGUGUACGAUGUUGAUCGAGUAUCCACACUAAGUUCAGCACCAAAGCAGUGACCUCCCAGAAGCUCGUGGCCACCAGGUUGCCUAAGAAGGGGUGAACCGGCCCAGGUAAGAAAUGGAGCAGGUCACAACUUCCAGGCUGAUCUGAAGUGAGAUUGCACCUAUCAAUAGCCGCUGCACGCCAGUCUGGGCAACAAAGUGAGACUCCAUCUCAA